AUUAAACAAAAUCUUUAUAUUCAUGGAUAAUAUAUCUCUUUAUAUAAAGCUCCGAGCAUAAGCCAAUCCUGUCGACACCGCUUCUCUUUUAACGACGGUUUUUUUUCUUCGUUUUGUUUUCUGAUCCCGGAUAUGUUGCUGCUUUGUAGGUCUUCGCAUCGAAAAAAUUGAGAAUGAUGGAAUGCAAAGUUGAUAAAAGAGAGAAAAUUUAUGGACAGUUUCUAUUGGGAAAACCUUUUGGUGCUUUCACAGAAUGUUUUUCCGUUGGUUUAGCCGAGAUUAAUAGCAAAUUCAAGGCUGCAAAAUUUACGUUGUGUAAGGAUUGGGAAGGAAUAUACAUUUAGGGAAAAUUAGCCCUUUUUCCCAAAGAUAUGCUUAUUUUGUCCAACAGGGGAUUGUCUACUUCUGCGCAUUUGUCCAGCAGGAGAUUGUCUAUUUUUGUGCAAAAAUAUGCUUAUUCAUAAUGACCAGCGGGUCCUGUACAUUGUAUAAAACGAAACGAAAGGCAACACCUUGAUUGGGAACAAACAAGUUGCAAGGUCAUUUAGUGUUCCAAUCACUAAGGUACUGUUGAUGGGUAAAACACAAGUGAGCAUCCACUUUUUCAUAAUCCAAAUUUUGCUCCACUUAUUACUAUACGUGAACAUGAUGUGUGAGUUGAGAUGUACAAAAUAAUUUAUUACUGGUUACUGAAAGUGUACGGACAUGUGGGAUUGGAUGACUCAAUGAAAUGAUUUUUAACAUGUGUAGUUGUACAAUUUCUCACUCCAAUUGAUUACUAUAGAGCAAA